CCUACGGGAGGCAGCAGUAGGGAAUCUUCCACAAUGGGCGAAAGCCUGAUGGAGCAACGCCGCGUGGGUGAAGAAGGUCUUCGGAUCGUAAAACCCUGUUGUUAGAGAAGAAAGUGCGUGAGAGUAACUGUUCACGUUUCGACGGUAUCUAACCAGAAAGCCACGGCUAACUACGUGCCAGCAGCCGCGGUAAUACGUAGGUGGCAAGCGUUAUCCGGAUUUAUUGGGCGUAAAGGGAACGCAGGCGGUCUUUUAAGUCUGAUGUGAAAGCCUUCGGCUUAACCGGAGUAGUGCAUUGGAAACUGGGAGACUGGAGGGAAGAAGAGGAGAGUGGAACUCCAUGGGUAGCGGUGAAAUGCGUAGAUAUAUGGAAGAACACCAGUGGCGAAAGCGGCUCUCUGGUCUGUAACUGACGCUGAGGUUCGAAAGCGUGGGUAGCAAACAGGAUUAGAUACCCUAGUAGUC
rnacentral:rRNA from 1 species